UCUCUUCCUCCCUCCUCUCUUCCUUCCUUCUCUUCUACCUUCCUUCUCUUCUACCUUCAGCCCCCUCUCUUCCUCCCUCCUCUUCUCUCUCUUACUCACACACACACCACACACACGUGAGAGACAGAUGACUCUGGGCCAUUUGUUGUAACAGGUGUGCUACUGUUCCUCCACACACACACACGCAAACAAACCACUUAAGUCCCCAAACAAAGGGACACACACACACACACACACAUACACACACAGCAGCUGUCAGAUGUGGUUCAGUCUUUGAUACGUCCCUUGUGUUGGACUGGAACUGAUACCCCGAGACAGACGUGGAGGGUGAUAGUGUGGAGGGUGAUAGUGUGUGUGCCACAGGGUAAGGUACCCCUCUGAGGCAGACGUGGAGGGUGAUAGUGUGGAGUGUGAUGGUGUGUGUGCCACAGGGUAAAGUACCCCUCUGAGACGUGGAGGGUGAUAGUGUGUGUGCCACAGGGUAAGGUACCCCUCUGAGGCAGACGUGGAGGGUGAUAGUGUGGAGUGUGAUGGUGUGUGUACCACAGGGUAAAGUACCCCUCUGAGACGUGGAGGGUGAUAGUGUGUGUGCCACAGGGUAAGGUACCCCUCUGAGACGUGGAGGGUGAUAGUGUGUGUGCCACAGGGUAAGGUACCCCUCUGAGACGUGGAGGGUGAUAGUGUGUGUGCCACAGGGUAAGGUACCCCUCUGAGACGUGGAGGGUGAUAGUGUGUGUGCCACAGGGUAAGGUACCCCUCUGAGGCAGACGUGGAGGGUGAUAGUGUGGAGUGUGAUGGUGUGUGUGCCACAGGGUAAGGUACCCCUCUGAGACGUGGAGGGUGAUAGUGUGUGUGCCACAGGGUAAGGUACCCCUCUGAGGCAGACGUGGAGGGUGAUAGUGUGGAGGGUGAUAGUGUGUGUGCCA